UAAGUUAUUAAGGGCGCACGGUGGAUGCCUUGGCACUAGAAGCCGAUGAAGGACGUUACUAACGACGAUAUGCUUUGGGGAGCUGUAAGUAAGCUUUGAUCCAGAGAUUUCCGAAUGGGGAAACCCAGCAUGAGUUAUGUCAUGUUAUCGAUAUGUGAAUACAUAGCAUAUCAGAAGGCACACCCGGAGAACUGAAACAUCUUAGUACCCGGAGGAAGAGAAAGAAAAUUCGAUUCCCUUAGUAGCGGCGAGCGAAACGGGAAGAGCCCAAACCAACAAGCUUGCUUGUUGGGGUUGUAGGACACUCUAUACGGAGUUACAAAGGACGACAUUAGACGAAUCAUCUGGAGAGAUGAAUCAAAGAAGGUAAUAAUCCUGUAGUCGAAAAUGUUGUCUCUCUUGAGUGGAUCCUGAGUACGACGGAGCACGUGAAAUUCCGUCGGAAUCUGGGAGGACCAUCUCCUAAGGCUAAAUACUCUCUAGUGACCGAUAGUGAACCAGUACCGUGAGGGAAAGGUGAAAAGCACCCCGGAGGGGAGUGAAAUAGAACCUGAAACCGUGUGCUUACAAGUAGUCAGAGCCCGUUAAUGGGUGAUGGCGUGCCUUUUGUAGAAUGAACCGGCGAGUUACGAUUUGAUGCAAGGUUAAGCAGUAAAUGUGGAGCCGUAGCGAAAGCGAGUCUGAAUAGGGCGUUUAGUAUUUGGUCGUAGACCCGAAACCAGGUGAUCUACCCUUGGUCAGGUUGAAGUUCAGGUAACACUGAAUGGAGGACCGAACCGACUUACGUUGAAAAGUGAGCGGAUGAACUGAGGGUAGCGGAGAAAUUCCAAUCGAACCUGGAGAUAGCUGGUUCUCUCCGAAAUAGCUUUAGGGCUAGCCUCAAGUGAUGAUUAUUGGAGGUAGAGCACUGUUUGGACGAGGGGCCCCUCUCGGGUUACCGAAUUCAGACAAACUCCGAAUGCCAAUUAAUUUAACUUGGGAGUCAGAACAUGGGUGAUAAGGUCCGUGUUCGAAAGGGAAACAGCCCAGACCACCAGCUAAGGUCCCAAAAUAUAUGUUAAGUGGAAAAGGAUGUGGCGUUGCCCAGACAACUAGGAUGUUGGCUUAGAAGCAGCCAUCAUUUAAAGAGUGCGUAAUAGCUCACUAGUCGAGUGACACUGCGCCGAAAAUGUACCGGGGGCUAAACAUAUUACCGAAGCUGUGGAUUGUCCUUUGGACAAUGGUAGGAGAGCGUUCUAAGGGCGUUGAAGCAUGAUCGUAAGGACAUGUGGAGCGCUUAGAAGUGAGAAUGCCGGUGUGAGUAGCGAAAGACGGGUGAGAAUCCCGUCCACCGAUUGACUAAGGUUUCCAGAGGAAGGCUCGUCCGCUCUGGGUUAGUCGGGUCCUAAGCUGAGGCCGACAGGCGUAGGCGAUGGAUAACAGGUUGAUAUUCCUGUACCACCUAUAAUCGUUUUAAUCGAUGGGGGGACGCAGUAGGAUAGGCGAAGCGUGCGAUUGGAUUGCACGUCUAAGCAGUAAGGCUGAGUAUUAGGCAAAUCCGGUACUCAUUAAGGCUGAGCUGUGAUGGGGAGAAGACAUUGUGUCUUCGAGUCGUUGAUUUCACACUGCCGAGAAAAGCCUCUAGAUAGAAAAUAGGUGCCCGUACCGCAAACCGACACAGGUAGUCAAGAUGAGAAUUCUAAGGUGAGCGAGCGAACUCUCGUUAAGGAACUCGGCAAAAUGACCCCGUAACUUCGGGAGAAGGGGUGCUCUUUAGGGUUAACGCCCAGAAGAGCCGCAGUGAAUAGGCCCAAGCGACUGUUUAUCAAAAACACAGGUCUCUGCUAAACCGUAAGGUGAUGUAUAGGGGCUGACGCCUGCCCGGUGCUGGAAGGUUAAGAGGAGUGGUUAGCUUCUGCGAAGCUACGAAUCGAAGCCCCAGUAAACGGCGGCCGUAACUAUAACGGUCCUAAGGUAGCGAAAUUCCUUGUCGGGUAAGUUCCGACCCGCACGAAAGGCGUAACGAUUUGGGCACUGUCUCAACGAGAGACUCGGUGAAAUCAUAGUACCUGUGAAGAUGCAGGUUACCCGCGACAGGACGGAAAGACCCCGUGGAGCUUUACUGUAGCCUGAUAUUGAAAUUCGGCACAGCUUGUACAGGAUAGGUAGGAGCCUUUGAAACGUGAGCGCUAGCUUACGUGGAGGCGCUGGUGGGAUACUACCCUAGCUGUGUUGGCUUUCUAACCCGCACCACUUAUCGUGGUGGGAGACAGUGUCAGGCGGGCAGUUUGACUGGGGCGGUCGCCUCCUAAAAGGUAACGGAGGCGCUCAAAGGUUCCCUCAGAAUGGUUGGAAAUCAUUCAUAGAGUGUAAAGGCAUAAGGGAGCUUGACUGCGAGACCUACAAGUCGAGCAGGGUCGAAAGCGGACUUAGUGAUCCGGUGGUUCCGCAUGGAAGGGCCAUCGCUCAACGGAUAAAAGCUACCCCGGGGAUAACAGGCUUAUCUCCCCCAAGAGUUCACAUCGACGGGGAGGUUUGGCACCUCGAUGUCGGCUCAUCGCAUCCUGGGGCUGUAGUCGGUCCCAAGGGUUGGGCUGUUCGCCCAUUAAAGCGGUACGCGAGCUGGGUUCAGAACGUCGUGAGACAGUUCGGUCCCUAUCCGUCGUGGGCGUAGGAAAUUUGAGAGGAGCUGUCCUUAGUACGAGAGGACCGGGAUGGACAUACCUCUGGUGUACCAGUUGUCGUGCCAACGGCAUAGCUGGGUAGCUAUGUGUGGACGGGAUAAGUGCUGAAAGCAUCUAAGCAUGAAGCCCCCCUCAAGAUGAGAUUUCCCAACUUCGGUUAUAAGAUCCCUCAAAGAUGAUGAGGUUAAUAGGUUCGAGGUGGAAGCAUGGUGACAUGUGGAGCUGACGAAUACUAAUCGAUCGAAGACUUAAUCA
rnacentral:rRNA from 1 species